rnacentral:rRNA from 1 species
UACGAGAGGCCCAAACGUUAUUCGGAUUCACUGGGCGUAAAGGGUGCGCAGGCGGCCAAGUGUGUGAGGCGUGAAAGCCCGGGGCUUAACCCCGGAAUUGCACCUCAAACUACAUGGCUAGAGCAUUGGAGAGGGUAGCAGAAUUCAUGGUGUAGCAGUGAAAUGCGUAGAUAUCAUGAGGAAUACCAGAGGCGAAGGCGGCUACCUGGACAAUUGCUGACGCUCAGGCACGAAAGCGUGGGGAGCAAAAGGG